CCUACGGGGGGCAGCAGUGAGGAAUAUUGGUCAAUGGACGAGAGUCUGAACCAGCCAAGUAGCGUGAAGGAUGACUGCCCUAUGGGUUGUAAACUUCUUUUAUAUGGGAAUAAAAUGUUCCACGUGUGGGAUUUUGUAUGUACCAUAUGAAUAAGGAUCGGCUAACUCCGUGCCAGCAGCCGCGGUAAUACGGAGGAUCCGAGCGUUAUCCGGAUUUAUUGGGUUUAAAGGGAGCGUAGGUGGAUUGUUAAGUCAGUUGUGAAAGUUUGCGGCUUAACCGUAAAAUUGCAGUUGAAACUGGCAGUCUUGAGUACAGUAGAGGUGGGCGGAAUUCGUGGUGUAGCGGUGAAAUGCUUAGAUAUCACGAAGAACUCCGAUUGCGAAGGCAGUUCACUGGACUGCAACUGACACUGAGGCUCGAAAGUGUGGGUAUCAAACAGGUUUAGAUACCCCAGUAGUC
rnacentral:rRNA from 1 species